CUAUUAUCGCUUGCUGCACCCCAUGGUAACAAUAAAUGUUCCUGCGCUCAAAUCCCUAGCGACUCCUCUUCCUUCUCUCCUUCUGCGUCCCCCAAGCACCUCACCCAUUAGCCAUGCCGCCGCGAGCGUUGAAGGGGCAGAAAUAGUGUUGUUAGUGAGAUACCUUGGUGGUAUUGAAAUUAAAUUUGUCUAUCAAGGGGAAUAACUGAUUGUUGUUGCGUGGAAUAGGUGACUGAAAAAGACAAGACAGAGUGAGAAAGGGAAUGGAGAAGAAGAUCACUUUGGUUCAGACUAUUGCCACUGCUGGCGUCUUCUCUGCCAUUUCAUUCUGGUAUGGGUUCAUGUUUGGCAGAGAGUCAUCGCGCAAAGAACUCUCUGACCUAAUCCAAGAUCUCCGUCACGGUGGCGGAAACCCUCCCUCUUCCUCUUCCUCCCAUUCUUAAUCCAACUUUCUCUUUCUCUUUCAAUUUCUUUAACAUCGUUACUUACACUAUAAUAUGUCUCUUCCAAACCCCACCCAUUUCCUUUUUCCCUAACAAUUUUGUAAUCUGGAAGUUGAGGUUGCUUCUCAACUCUUUAGCUCGAUCAAUGCAGCUUCCUUGUAUUAUGGUUUUGAAUUAUCUCAUUUUCAGAGAAUCAGGUAGAAAAACUAAUGCCCGGAUUGUAAUUUUUAUUAAACCUCUUUGGCUCACUAAUAUUGUCUUAAUCGGCAAAUGUUAGUUGUUAAUGGUUAGUUUUUUUUUUUUGUUAGUGGGAGAAUCGAAUCCAUUACCUUUCUCUCCCUCGCAUCUCCAUUUACCACCAAACCAAUCUUAUAACUCCAGCUUAGUGAUAAUUUGAUAGGGUUGUUUACCUAAUUGUUGCUUCAUGUACUCUUUUUUCUGUUGUUGGUUUUCAUGGAUUCUAUCCUAAUGUGGUUGCAUUGCA